rnacentral:rRNA from 1 species
UACGUAGGGUGCGAGCGUGUCCGGAAUUAUUGGGCGUAAAGGGCUCGUAGGCGGUUUGUCGCGUCGGGAGUGAAAACGCCGUGCUUAACACGGCGCUUGCUUUCGAUACGGGGCAGACUAGAGGUAUGCAGGGGAGAACGGAAUUCCUGGUGUAGCGGUGAAAUGCGCAGAUAUCAGGAGGAACACCGGUGGCGAAGGCGGUUCUCUGGGCAUUACCUGACGCUGAGGAGCGAAAGUGUGGGGAGCGAACAGG